CGGGGAAUAUUGCGCAAUGGGGGCAACCCUGACGCAGCCAUGCCGCGUGAAUGAAGAAGGCCUUCGGGUUGUAAAGUUCUUUCGGUGACGAGGAAGGCGUGAUGUUUAAUAGGCAUCACGAUUGACGUUAAUCACAGAAGAAGCACCGGCUAACUCCGUGCCAGCAGCCGCGGUAAUACGGAGGGUGCGAGCGUUAAUCGGAAUAACUGGGCGUAAAGGGCACGCAGGCGGCUAUUUAAGUGAGGUGUGAAAUCCCCGGGCUUAACCUGGGAAUUGCAUUUCAGACUGGGUAGCUAGAGUACUUUAGGGAGGGGUAGAAUUCCACGUGUAGCGGUGAAAUGCGUAGAGAUGUGGAGGAAUACCGAAGGCGAAGGCAGCCCCUUGGGAAUGUACUGACGCUCAUGUGCGAAAGCGUGGGGAGUAAACAGGAUUAGAUACCCUGGUAGUCCACGCUGUAAACGCUGUCGAUUUGGGGAUUGGGCCUUGAGCUUGGUGCCCGAAGCUAACGUGAUAAAUCGACCGCCUGGGGAGUACGGCCGCAAGGUUA
rnacentral:rRNA from 1 species